rnacentral:rRNA from 1 species
GGCCGCGGGAAUUCGAUUUCUGGUUGAUCCUGCCAGACCCGACUGCUAUCAGAGUGGGACUAAGCCAUGCGAGUCAACGUAGUAAUACGUGGCAUACGGCUCAGUAACACGUAGUCAACAUGCCCAGGGGACGUGGAUAACCUCGGGAAACUGAGGAUAAACCGCGAUAGGCCAUAAUUCCUGGAAUGGUUUAUGACUGAAACCUACAUGGCCCCUGGAUUGGACUGCGGCCGAUCAGGCUGUUGGUGAGGUAAUGGCCCACCAAACCUGUAACCGGCACGGGCUCUGAGAGGAGAAGCCCGGAGAUGGGCACUGAGACAAGGGCCCAGGCCCUAUGGGGCGCAGCAGGCGCGAAACCUCUGCAAUAGGCGAAAGCCUGACAGGGUUACUCUGAGUGGUUCCCGCUAAGGGGAUCUUUUGGCACCUCUAAAAAUGGUGCAGAAUAAGGGGUGGGCAAGCCUGGUGUCAGCCGCCGCGGUAAUACCAGCACCCCGAGUGGUCGGGACGAUUAUUGGGCCUAAAGCAUCCGUAGCCGGUCAUGCAAGUCUUCCGUUAAAUCCACCCGCUCAACGGUUGGGCUGCGGAGGAUACUACGUGGCUAGGAGGCGGGAGAGGCAAGCGGUACUCAGUGGGUAGGGGUAAAAUCCUUUGAUCCAUUGAAGACCACCAGUGGCGAAGGCGGCUUGCCAGAACGCGCUCGACGGUGAGGGAUGAAAGCUGGGGGAGCAAACCGGAUUAGAUACCCGGGUAGUCCCAGCUGUAAACGAUGCAGACUCGGUGAUGGGAUGGCCUCGAGCUAUCCCAGUGCCGCAGGGAAGCCGUUAAGUCUGCCGCCUGGGGAGUACGGUCGCAAGACUGAAACUUAAAGGAAUUGGCGGGGGAGCACCACAAGGGGUGAAGCCUGCGGUUCAAUUGGAUUCAACGCCGGAAAUCACUAGUGAAUUC